UCGGAAGGUGCGGCUGGAUCACCUCCUUUCUAGGGAGACAUACACCGGGCCGAGAGCCUGGAUGUCACUUAGGUCGACACUUUGGCGGGUAAGUAGACGUAGCAUAAGCGCUAGCAGUACUUACACACUUAUCAUUGUUUGGUUUUGAGAGAUCUGUCAUAGAUGUCUCAAUGUAAUAUGGCGUAUACAUUACGGGUUAAUCUGGGCGCACGUAGGAUUGCGAAAUUGACGCAUACUGGAAGUAUGCUAGAUGAGCAAGACAAGUGCAACGACGAGUAACAAACACGGAAUGUAUCGGCAGAUUUGUUCUUUGAAAACUGCAUAGAAGAAUUAAUAUAUAUUUGUAAGGUCAUCUCUUAGAAUUUCUAAGCAGGUUGACCCGAGCACAUAGGAAAUAAUUCUCUGACUUAAUGGUGACGUACAUGAAAAUGUACGGCUACAAAAAACGACAAUGUAUCUAAUGCAUGUCAAUGAAAUCUAAGAAUAGAUUUUCGUCAGAAUUUGAUGGAUAACGAGGCGUGCCAGUGAGGUGAUGUCGCCGCGUACUCAUGUACGCAAGACAAACCAAACGCAGCACAACGAAGUUAGCCGCAAAUUAUGGCGUAAAAUAAGUAAAGAUUUUAAGGGCGUACGGUGGAUGCCUUGGCGAUAUCAGCCGAAGAAGGACGCGGUAAGCUGCGAAAAGCUACGGAGAGGUGCAAGCAACCUUUGACCCGUAG
rnacentral:misc_RNA from 1 species